UGGGGAAUAUUGCACAAUGGGCGCAAGCCUGAUGCAGCCAUGCCGCGUGUGUGAAGAAGGCCUUCGGGUUGUAAAGCACUUCCAGCGAGGAGGAAGGGUAGUGUGUUAAUAGCACAUUGCAUUGACGUUACUCGCAGAAGAAGCACCGGCUAACUCCGUGCCAGCAGCCGCGGUAAUACGGAGGGUGCAAGCGUUAAUCGGAAUUACUGGGCGUAAAGCGCACGCAGGCGGUUUGUUAAGUCAGAUGUGAAAUCCCCGCGCUUAACGUGGGAACUGCAUUUGAAACUGGCAAGCUAGAGUCUUGUAGAGGGGGGUAGAAUUCCAGGUGUAGCGGUGAAAUGCGUAGAGAUCUGGAGGAAUACCGGUGGCGAAGGCGGCCCCCUGGACAAAGACUGACGCUCAGGUGCGAAAGCGUGGGGAGCAAACA
rnacentral:rRNA from 1 species